rnacentral:rRNA from 1 species
GAUGAACGCUGGCGGCGUGCCUAAUACAUGCAAGUCGAGCGAACAGACGAGGAGCUUGCUCCUCUGACGUUAGCGGCGGACGGGCGAGUAACACGUGGAUAACCUACCUAUAAGACUGGGAUAAUUUCGGGAAACCGGAGCUAAUACCGGAUAAUAUAUUGUACCGCAUGGUUCAAUAGUGAAAGACGGCUUUGCUGUUACUUAUAGACGGAUCCGCGCCGCAUUAGAUAGUUGGUAAGGUAACGGCUUACCAAGGCAACGAUGCGUAGCCGACCUGAGAGGGUGAUCGGCCACACUGGAACUGAGACACGGUCCAGACUCCUACGGGAGGCAGCAGUAGGGAAUCUUCCGCAAUGGGCGAAAGCCUGACGGAGCAACGCCGCGUGAGUGAUGAAGGUCUUCGGAUCGUAAAACUCUGUUAUUAGGGAAGAACAAAUGUGUAAGUAACUAUGCACGUCUUGACGGUACCUGAUCAGAAAGCCACGGCUAACUACGUG